GUGAAUCAUCGAAUUUUUGAACGCAAAUUGCACUCCCCUCGGAGAGUAUGCCUGUUUGAGUGUCAGCCUAUUAAAAAUCGACAUUGUUGCUGUUUCGCGGUGGUGUUGGUCGGAAAUUGGGUCAUUUUAAAUCCUUUGGUUUUAAGAGACAUAUCAUUUUGUUUUAGGUUUCAUGAACGUUUCUC
rnacentral:misc_RNA from 1 species